rnacentral:rRNA from 1 species
AGGACGAACGCUGGCGGCGCGCCUAAUACAUGCAAGUCGAGCGAGAACCGGGACUUCGGUCCCGGGGAGAGCGGCGAACGGGUGCGUAUCACGUGAGCAACCUGCCUCGGAGACCGGAAUAACUCGAGGAAACUCGGGCUAAUGCCGGAUGCCCUCGGUGGACCGCAUGGCCCGGCGAGGAAAUGGAUUCCGCUCCGAGAUGGGCUCGCGGCCUAUCAGCUUGUUGGUGGGGUAACGGCCUACCAAGGCGACGACGGGUAGCUGGUCUGAGAGGACGAUCAGCCACACUGGGACUGAGACACGGCCCAGACUCCUACGGGAGGCAGCAGUAGGGAAUCUGCGCAAUGGGGGAAACCCUGACGCAGCGACGCCGCGUGCGGAUGAAGGCCUUCGGGCGUAAACCGCUUCAGCAGGACGAAUUGACGGUACCUGCAGAAGAAGCCGGACAACUACGUGCCAGCAGCCGC